ensembl:lncRNA
GGAAUACCCAGUCCCUUUCCAUGUCACUACUCUGAGGAGGGGGAUCACAGCUCAAACAACUCAUGAACUGUCUCAGAUUAACCUGAUUUUGUGAAGAAUACCACAUUCCAUUGACAUAUCAAAUGCAAGCUAGAAGUGCUUUGUUCGUUUAGGAAGGAAAAAGAGAAAAAAAAAGAGGAAAAAAAAAGAGAAAAAGAGAAAUAGAGAAAUGGAGUAAAAGAGAAAAGAAAAAAGGAAAAAAAAGGAAAAAAAAAGAAAAAAAAGAGCCAAAGAAGCCAAAUCUUCUACAAACGUUCACUCUUCACACAGGAUAAAAACUGAAGGGAAUUGUUUAGCAAGAAAACUGCAAAUGCUUCCCAAGGACCUACAGAUCAUCUCUGCUAUAUCCUUUGUUACAACAGUU